GUCGUCGUGGCCGAGUGGUUAAGGCGACAGACUUGAAAUCUGUUGUGCUCAACCCGCACAGGUUUGAAUCCUGUCGGCGACG
rfam:Ciona savignyi cont_40254, whole genome shotgun sequence.